GACGAACGCUGGCGGCGUGCUUAACACAUGCAAGUCGAACGAGGUCCACCGCGUAGCAAUACAAGGGAAGACCUAGUGGCGAACGGGUGCGUAACACGUGAGGAACUUGUCCCGGUCUCUGGGAUAACAGUUGGAAACGACUGCUAAUACCAGAUGACGUCGGAAUCUCGCAUGGGAUACUGACGAAAGGGUUACUGGAUCGGGAGAGCCUCGCGGCCUAUCAGCUUGUUGGUGAGGUAACGGCUCACCAAGGCGUCGACGGGUAGCUGGUCUGAGAGGAUGAUCAGCCACACUGGGACUGAGACACGGCCCAGACUCCUACGGGAGGCAGCAGUGGGGAAUCUUGCGCAAUGGGCGAAAGCCUGACGCAGCAACGCCGCGUGCGGGAAGAAGGCCCUCGGGUUGUAAACCGCUUUCAGUAGGAACGAAAAUGACGGUACCUGCAGAAGAAGGUGCGGCCAACUACGUGCCAGCAGCCGCGGUAAUGUAGUCGUGUC
rnacentral:rRNA from 1 species